ACGGCAAUCCCAGCUUCAACGGGCCGGUGCCAGGCGUGCCUCCCGGCGAUGCCCAUCGGUCGCCGACGCCUCCUAGCACGCCAGCUGGCUCACAAGGUGUCUCUCCCGGCGGCGACAACAACAACAAGAAGAAGAGAUCAGGUCUGGUGCUGGCUACUACCAUCCCGGUCUCAGUCAGUGUGGUGGCGCUCAUCUCGCUGGGUGCCGUGCUGCUCUUCCGCAAGAAAAACAACGGGUCCG
rnacentral:pre_miRNA from 1 species